AUAGGUGACAGUUGUUCCAAUCCAGACCAGCUUAUGGUGGAUUUGGAGAGGCAGGAGGUUCAAAAUGUCUUCCUGGAUUUUCUGGUCAAUUUUGUGAAAUUAAUAUAAAUGAAUGCUCUUCAUCACCAUGUCUACAUGGUGCAGACUGUGAAGAUCAUAUCAAUGGAUAUGUUUGCAAAUGCCAGCCAGGAUGGUCUGGACACCACUGUGAGAAGGAGCUUGAGUGCAUUCCCAACUCAUGUGUUCAUGAACUCUGCAUGGAGAAUGAACCUGGCUCCACAUGUUUAUGCACACCUGGAUUUAUGACCUGCUCCACUGGGCUUCUUUGUGGUGAUGAAAUAAGAAGAAUUACCUGUUUAACUCCCAUCUUUCAAAGAACAGAUCCCAUUUCCACACAGACAUACACAGUUCCCCCUUCUGAGACUUUGGUCAGCAGCUUUCCAUCUAUAAAGGCUACUAGAAUACCAGCCAUAAUGGACACUUA
rnacentral:sRNA from 1 species